UUCAAAUUGAGAGUUUGAUCCUGGCUCAGGAUGAACGCUGGCGGCGUGCCUAAUACAUGCAAGUCGAACGCUUUGUGGUUCAACUGAUUUGAAGAGCU
rnacentral:rRNA from 1 species